rnacentral:rRNA from 1 species
AACGAACGCUGGCUGCAUGCCUAACACAUGCAAGUCGAACGAGACCUUCGGGUCUAGUGGCGCACGGGUGCGUAACGCGUGGGAACCUGCCCUUAGGUUCGGAAUAACUCCCCGAAAGGGGUGCUAAUACCGGAUAAUGUCUUCGGACCAAAGAUUUAUCGCCUUUGGAUGGGCCCGCGUUGGAUUAGCUAGUUGGUAGGGUAAAAGCCUACCAAGGCGACGAUCCAUAGCUGGUCUGAGAGGAUGAUCAGCCACACUGGGACUGAGACACGGCCCAGACUCCUACGGGAGGCAGCAGUGGGGAAUAUUGGACAAUGGGCGAAAGCCUGAUCCAGCAAUGCCGCGUGAGUGAUGAAGGCCUUAGGGUUGUAAAGCUCUUUUACCCGGGAUGAUAAUGACAGUACCGGGAGAAUAAGCUCCGGCUAACUCCGU